UCCACAAGAAAAAGACUGUGUGGCAGCCGUGCCCCUUUCAUGGCUGUCGGAAAAUCGUGCGGUCUGCCACUGGCCAUCAAAAGAUGCAGGCCUGGAUGCUCUGGCACUGGCCAAGCAGGAGGCUUCACCAGGCACUGUGGAGGAAGGGUGGGAGCCCUUUCCAGUUGAUGUACUGGGAACUUCGAGCACCUACCAAAGAGCAGAGAAAAAGCUUACCAAGUGGAUACACACAUGUUCCAUUGAGUCCUCGGAGAUUUCCGACAAUGCAGUACCGGUAGAAAGGAGAGCAGAGGCGACUCAUCCCCGUCUGCAGAUACCAGUACUAUCCCCACAGGCCCCAUCAAGCUCCUGUUCAAGUGACGGUCCUGGUGAUUCUGCUCCGGCAUCGAAGCAGCAGUCACAGCGGGUUGAAGAGCCUUCACAGAUCCAGGCGAAUGAUGGAGCAACCCGUGCCCAGCUGCGGAUCAUCCACCUGCUAGUGGAACUCCGCCACCAGAACCGUGAGAUGCAGCACGAGACUAUGCAGCUGAGG